CCGACGCCGCGGCCGUACUUCGGCGAGCCUCCUCCUCCACUUUUCUCCUCUUUCUGUUCUCUUUUAGUUUGUGUUUCUAUUGGCGUUUUCUCACACAAAAAAUUCGGCGCCCUCAACUUUGAUUUCGAAGAUUUACUUUUUCAAUUCCAAAUUAAGGUGUUCUUGUGAGAUUUAUCCCGGUUAAGAAGACAAGGGACAAGUUUUUUUAUUCUAAAGGUACCGUAGAAGCUUUUCGUGACAAAGGAAUUAGUCGGUGAAACAAGGUCUAAGGGCUAGCUAGAUCUAACGCCACCCUCAGUAAUCAUUGGUUUUUGAUUAUGAUGGAAACGGUAAAGUUAUAGUUAGGGUUUUGAGGAUCCUUGCGCUGGGGGCCUAGGCCUAAUGUCACUGUCUUGAGUGGUUCAUGAUGGAAACGGUAAAGUUAGGGUGAAGGUUUAGGAGUUCUGGUUUGCGGUACUAGUCGUUUGGCUCUACCUCUGGGUGUUCGUGAUUAAGUGAAGUGAAGUAAUUGUGUGAAUCGCUCGUGUUACGAUCAAGUGAACUUUUUAGGUGGAAGUUGAUUGAUGCAUAUGGGAGUCCACGGGAAUUUCACCAAGCUUAGGAAAAGUUUGAGUUGUUUUUGUGUUAUGAUUUAUGAACAGUUUUAUUUGAAGUACUAUUAAUGAUGAAUAAAGAAUUUCCGCUGCAAAAUUAUUUUGAAAUAUUAGCCUUGCGUUGUUAUGCGGCGGUAAUACGCCUAAGUCUAUCUCUACGGUAUUUAUACAUAUUUUCUACAUAUUCCGUAGAGGGAUAUUUGGGGGUGUUACAAAGUGGUA